CCUACGGGCGGCUGCAGUCGGGAAUUUUGCGCAAUGGGGGAAACCCUGACGCAGCAAUACCGCGUGUGGGAUGAAGGCCUUCGGGUCGUAAACCACUUUUCUCGGGGACGAUAAUGACGGUACCCGAGGAAUAAGCCACGGCUAACUACGUGCCAGCAGCCGCGGUAAUACGUAGGUGGCAAGCGUUGUCCGGAUUUACUGGGCGUAAAGCGCGCGCAGGCGGUGAACGAAGUCGAAAGUGAAAGCCCCGGGCUCAACUCGGGAACAGCUUUCGAAACCAGUUCACUUGAAGGUGGAAGAGGGAAGUGGAAUUCCGAGUGUAGCGGUGGAAUGCGCAGAUAUUCGGAGGAACACCAGAGGCGAAGGCGACUUCCUGGUCCAAUCUUGACGCUGAGGCGCGAAAGCUAGGGGAGCAAACAGGAUUAGAUACCCGAGUAGUC
rnacentral:rRNA from 1 species